UAAGCUCAUCUUAAAGAUUGUUCAUACAGUUUACUUCUUGUAAACUUAUAAGCUCCAUGAAACUCACUCAUAUCUACCUCUUGUGGACCAAACAGACUCCAUCCAAUAAGUACAUCUGCCAAUCACUAGCCUAAGUUCCUACCUGUCACCUAUUCCCAGAGGGUGGGAUUCUUUUCCUGUUCCCAAGACUGGGACUCCUCUCACCCCAAUCACCAAGACCUAAGGGUUUCAAAUGUACGCCUAAGACAAAAUUUUUCUCCUAAAAAUACUUAACUUGAGAGAGAGAGAGAGAGAGAGAGAGAGAGAGAGAGAGAGAGAGAGAGAGAGAGAAUGUGUUUCAACAUCUUGCCAAGUCCAGGCAUUUACUACGUCCAGGACAGCUCCCGUGAAGCAACCCACAGAUGCCCCAGCCUUCUCUCACAGACACAGACCGAUUCUACUGGCUCUGCUCCUUCUUAUCUAUCCACAGAUGGCUCCACAGACCCUGGACAGCAAGGAAACAGCAACUCUCCUACAUGUGGACCAACAUCCCCAUGCCCAUUUUCUUAGGUUUCCCAGAGACACAGCGCUCCAAAGUCAGCAGGAAACAACUAAAGAUCACUAUGCCCCUAAUCCUGCUUCACCAUCAUCUCUAGUUUUUCCUUUUUUUUUUUUAAUGAAACCAAAAUGGAAGAAUGUUAGCAUUCUGUCUAGGCUCCUCCCAGCAGUUACCUGGCAACAGCCAUGUAUGCCUGAUUCACUAUAAACGGAGCUGCUUGCCCCCUCCUCACUCUCUUAUCCUCUUACUCUCUGCCCCUUCUCCCUCUCUCCCCCUCCCCUUCCCCCUCUCCCUCUCUGCCUUUCUCUCUCUCUACCCCCUCAGCUCCCCUCCCCAUGCCCUAAAUAAACUCUAUAC
rnacentral:lncRNA from 1 species